rnacentral:rRNA from 1 species
UACAGAGGGUGCGAGCGUUGUUCGGAAUUAUUGGGCGUAAAGGGCGCGUAGGCGGUGCGGUAAGUCACCUGUGAAAUCUCCUGGCUCAACUGGGAGCUUGCAGGCGAAACUGCCGUGCUGGAGUGUGGGAGAGGUGCGUGGAAUUCCUGGUGUAGCGGUGAAAUGCGUAGAUAUCAGGAGGAACACCUGUGGCGAAGGCGGCUCUCUGGAACGCAACUGACGCUGAGACGCGAAGGCGUGGGGAGCAAACAGG